rnacentral:lncRNA from 1 species
AGCUCUUAUUUGAAUAAGCACUUAUAUGAAUAAGCACUAAAAAAAUAAAUAAACCACCACUGGGGGUGUAAACUGGGGUCUGGGGGUGAGGCAAUAGCAAAGCUGCAACACCAAGCCCAGCCCAGUUCGGUUUGUCCAAAAAAAUGAACAGAACAAAAAUGAUUCAGCGUGUCAUCAGGAUCAGGGUGCGCGAUAGGCUUCACAGAUCUGGGCUUUCUGAUUCAUCAGAUGGCUUGGAUUUUAAAAUAAUCAAAUAGAUCUCAGCCUUUCACCAGAUCCAACAGACAUCUCUUAAACUUGGGAGGGAGCCAAUGACGCGCUGACACGUCAUCGUCUUCAACCUCCUUCACCUUCUUCACGUUGAAGAAUCAACAACAGGAAGCCAUGAAAGCUUCAAGUGAAGCUCACGGCCAAACACAACAUCAUCAAUUCUUGACCAAAAAUCAAACGUUUAUAUACCAUUUCGCUCGUAAUCAUGCGUAGAUCAUGAAUAUAAACUUAGAUUUUUUAAAAGGUGUUUGUAUCUCAAAAAAAGUUCGAAACUUUAAAACCCAAAAAAACUUUAAAAUUCACAUUUGAACGAAUUAAACAAAAUUAAGGGUUGGAAAAGCUUCAGUAGGUGUUAAUGAGUAAAAAAAGUUUAGAAACCUACUUGUUUUGUGCUUUGUUUCGGUGGGUUAACUCUCACUCUUUUAUUAGCUAUUUUUGAACCUUGUGUAAGCUUUUGUUGAUGGUUUUUCUUCGUUUUUCUUGCGG